UACGGAGGGGGCUAGCGUUGAUCGGAAUUACUGGGCGUAAAGCGCACGUAGGCGGAUUGUUAAGUCGGGGGUGAAAUCCCGGGGCUCAACCCCGGAAUGGCCUCCGAUACUGGCAAUCUUGAGGUCGGGAGAGGUGAGUGGAAUGGCGAGUGUAGAGGUGAAAUUCGUAGAUAUUCGCCGGAACACCAGUGGCGAAGGCGGCUCACUGGCCCGAUACUGACGCUCAGGCACGAAAGCGUGGGGAGCAAACAGG
rnacentral:rRNA from 1 species